UCCACUCGUCUUUGGUUGGACUCUUUUAAUGUGGUUCUGUGUCAUCGUUGAAACUUCCUCUCCACUUGUGUCUUCUUUUUCUUCUAUCUACUCUGUCUUUGGAUACUUUUUGUGUGGUUAUGUGUCAUUGUUGUUAUUUCUCUCUUUGCUGAAAUCAUUGUGAUCCUGUUCCUCAGUUCAUUGCGUGCUCUCUACUCAUGGCUUCUUCUUCAUCUCUGUCUUGCAACUCCAAGUAUGACGUCUUCCUUAGCUUCCGUGGAGAAGACGUGCGCAAAGGCUUUCUUAGUCACGUUCGGAAAGAGCUCCAAAGAAAGGGGAUCAUAGCUUUCGUUGAUGACAAGAUCGAGCGAGGCGAAUCUGUUGGUCCCCUGCUUGUUGGAGCCAUCAGACAAUCAAGGGUUGCCGUUGUAUUGCUCUCCCGUAACUACGCUUCUUCAAGCUGGUGUUUGGAUGAGUUGGUGGAGAUCAUGAAGUGUAGGAAAGAGGAUCAACAAAAAGUGAUGACCAUUUUCUAUGAAGUGGAUCCAUCUCAUGUUAGGAAGCAGACCGGAGAUUUCGGGAAAGCCUUUGAAGAAACCUGCGUGGGAAAAACAGAAGAGGUGAAGCAGGAAUGGAGGCAAGCUUUGAAUGAUGUAGCUGGUAUAGCUGGUUAUCACUCUAGCAACAGUGACAACGAAGCUGAAAUGAUUGAUAAAGUUGCCUCAGAUGUCACGGCUGUGUUGGGUUUCACACCAUCAAAAGACUUUGAUGACUUUGUUGGCGUAGGAGCUCAAAUCACGGCGAUAAAAUCAAAGUUGAUCCUACAAUUAGAACAAGUUCAGAUGAUUGUGCUUGUGGGUCCUGCUGGGAUUGGCAAGACGACCACUGCCAGAGUUUUAUACAACCAACUCUAUCCAAAGUUUCAGUUCAGCACGUUUUUGGAGAAUAUCAGAGGAAAUUACGAGAAGCCUUGUGGCAACGACUAUAAUUUGAAGCUGAGUUUGCAGAAAAAUUUGUUGGCUGAAACAUUAAACCAAAAGGAUAUUGAGGUUCGACACUUAGGAGUGGCUCAACAAAGGCUGAGUGACAAAAAAGUGUUGGUUGUUCUUGAUGAAGUGGAUAGCUGGUGGCAACUCGAGGCAACUGCAUACCAGCGCGGAUGGUUUGGUCCCGGAAGUAUUAUUAUCAUAACAACCGAAGAUAGAAAACUUCUCAAGCAACUCAGACUAGGGAUCAAUCAUAUCUACAAGAUGAAAUAUCCUACUGAAGAUGAGUCUUUUCAGAUCUUAUGCAAAUAUGCUUUCGGGCAAAAUAUUCCAGAUCAUGGUUUUGAAGAGCUUGCUUGGGAAGUUACUUGGCUUGCUGGUGAUCUUCCUCUAGCCCUGAGAGUCAUGGGAUCGUAUCUACGAGGAAUGUCCAGGGACGAGUGGAUAGAGGCACUACCAAGGCUCAGGUCUAGCCUUGAUAGAGAAAUUGAAUCAACUCUAAGAUUUAGCUACGACGGGUUAAGUGAUAAAGAUCAAGCUCUUUUCCUGCAUAUUGCAUGUUUCUUUGUUGGUUUCAAUGUUGAUAGUGUUAAGAGGUGUCUUGCAAACUGUGGUCUGGACGUCAACCAUGGGCUUCAAGUCUUAGCUGAUAAAUCUCUUAUAUCUAUAGAAGAAGGAUACAUAAUAAUGCAUAGAUUACUGAAAACUUUUGGUAAGAAAAUUGUCAAGAAAGAGUCCUUGGAGGAGCCUGGAAAGCGACAGUUCUUGUGGAAUACCAAGGAAAUUUCUGAAGUACUUGAAGAAAGUACUGGUACUGGAAAAGUCAUAGGCAUAUAUUUCGAUUGCGGUGAGAACUUCCAAAUAAGUAAAAGCCCUUUCGAUGGGAUGAAUAAUCUCCAGUUUCUACGAGUCUACAAUGGUCCCUUGUGCAUGCCCGAGGGCCUCAAUUGUCUUCCCGACAAACUCAGACUUAUAUAUUGGCCCAGAUGUCCAUUGAGGUUUUGGCCUUCCAAGUUCUCUUUCAAGUUUCUUGUCGAACUAGACAUGUGUGAUAGCAAAUUUGAGAAGCUUUGGGAGGGAAUACAACCUCUCCAAUGCCUCAAGCUGAUGGAUUUGAAAUCCUCUAAGCAUCUGAAAGAGAUUCCAGAUCUCUCAAAAGCAACGAGUCUCGAGAAAUUAGAUCUCAGUGACUGCAGAAGUUUGUUGGAGCUCACAGGCUCUAUUGGCAGUGCAGCUGAGCUUGGGCUACAUCUGAGGUAUAGUGCGAUAGAGGAAUUGCCAUCAUCAAUCAGCACCAAUCUAGGGGUAUUGGAUAUUACAGGGUGUAAAAACAUCAAAGACUUCCCAAAUGUUCCUGACAGUAUUGUCGAGUUGGAGUUGAGCGGUACUGGGAUAGAGGAGGUCCCUCCAUGGAUUGAGAAGCUAUUUCGUCUGCGUAAACUAAUUAUGAAUGGAUGCAAAAAUCUGAAAAGGAUAUCUCGAAACAUUUCUAAGUUGGAGAAUCUUGAGUUUCUUGCUCUGCGUACCGAUGCCCGAAGUAAGUAUGCUGAUCCUUUUAAGGAUGUGAUAAAUUGUGCGCCUAGCUUAUUUGAAGCAAUAAUCGAGUGGGGGUCUGAAUGGAAGCGCAGUUGGAUAUUACAUACAGACUUCGACGUACACUACAUUUUGCCGAUAUGUCUACCCAUGAAGGCUCUUACGUUUCCAAUAUCAUUAUGUUUGCGCGGUAAUGGUUUCAAGACUAUUCCAGAUUGCAUCAGCCAUCUGUCCGGAUUAAGUAAGCUUGACGUCACAGGAUGCAGCCAGCUCUUAGCACUUCCACCGCUUCCAGGUUCCCUUCUAUCUCUAGAUGCACAAGGUUGUGAAUUCUUGGAGAGAAUAAACUCUUCUUUUCAAAAUCCAAAGACUUGCCUAAACUUUGCUUACUGCUUCAACCUCGAUCAAAAAGCGAGAAAGCUUAUCCAGACAUCAGCUUGCAAACAUGCGGUCUUACCGGGUCAAGAAGUGCCUACACACUUCACUCACCGAGCUACUUCAGGUUCCUUAACGAUCAGUUUGAUUCCAAGACCUUUUCCUUCAUCCUGUAGAUUCAAAGCUUGCAUCUUGCUGUCACAAAGCACUAUUGGUCCCAAGGAUUUCGCUUCCGUAGAUGUUAAUGAUUCAUUCGUGGGUGUCACUUGUCGUGUCAGGGGUAAACAGAAUGGCCUCACAGUUGGAUCAACCCAUGUCCAUAUGCCAGAUCUAUAUGGACAUAGAGAUCAUCUGUAUGUAUUUGAAGAUUCUUUCUCUCUAAACCAGGAUUGCCCUGAAGCCGAAGAAACCACUUUCAGCGAGCUUUCUUUUGAGCUCAGAUUCCAUGAUAAAGCCUGGAAGGUGAAAGCCUGCGGUGUACUACUUUCACAGGAGGUUCCUCAAUGGGUUGAGAAUAUAUUUCAUCUGCGUAAUGUAGUUACGUUUGGAUGCGAGGAGCUGAAACAAACAUUUCUAAGUUGAGAAUCCUAAGCUUCUUGUUCUGUGUACUGGUUUCUGUGGUAUGUCCGGUGAGUAUGUUGAAUACAAUGAUGCUUCAGUAAUCGAGUGGGGGGCCUGACUUGAAGCAACGUUGGAGAUUAUUAUCAGACUUCAGCGUUGACAACAUUUUUCCGAUUUGUCUACCUGACAAGGCUCAUACAUCUUCAAUAUCAUUACGUUUUCGCGGUAAUGUUUUGGUGACUAUUCCAGACUGCAUUGGACAACUCUUCGGACUAAGUAAGCUUGACAUCAAAGAAUGCAGCGAGCUCGUAGCACUUCCAAAGCUUCCAGGCAAUAUUAAUCUCGAGGAUGAUAAUGAUGACGAUGAUGAAGAGGGUGAAACUUCAUUGAGGCGUUUGUCUUGUCGAAUCAGCUGUAAACAGAAGUCUAUGGUGAUUAUGAUAUUUACCCACAUAACGAUCAUUAUAAGAAACAAGAUACCAUGUGGUUAUCUUGUCGCGUCAACUGCAAACAGAAGGGUCUCACUACUCCAUAGGGAUCAAGUGUGCAUCUAUUACCAACUCCACAUCUAUUCACAGACCAUAUCUAUGUAUUUGAAGCUUCUUUCUCUCUAGACGUGUGACCCAAUCCUGAAGCAGAAAGCGAACUUGUCUUUGGCUUCAAGGUUCACGAUUACUUUUGGGUGAUAAAAGAGUGUGGUCUUCAACUUUUGGAGCUCUCUCAUGUUCAUAAAGAAGAUCAGUGGCGGACAGAGCUAACGACAAACAGGUCACGUGGCCCAAAUAAAUUUUGAUUUUCUCUUAAGUAAUCAAUUCAAAAUUUUAAUAUUUAAGACUGUUAUUUCAUUGUUCUGAGAUGUAUGGCAUUUGCAUAGUUGGAUUAAUCGUUAGGUUUAUGAGAAAGUUGCGGCUUGUUGUUGAGCAUAGUUAAGUUGUAUAACUGAUCAAACAUCUGGAAAACUGGUGAUCUAUCUGUUUGUAGCUUUAGUGUAGGCUUUGCUGUGGAGUAGAGUAGCUUGUGAUCUCAGACUCUAUGAUGUAGCUUUACAUGAUUAC